CUCACCUGUCGAAUGGGUACAUUCGGGAAC
rnacentral:piRNA from 1 species